GAUGAACGCUGGCGGCGUGCCUAAUACAUGCAAGUCGAGCGAACAGACGAGGAGCUUGCUCCUCUGACGUUAGCGGCGGACGGGUGAGUAACACGUGGAUAACCUACCUAUAAGAUUGGGAUAACUUCGGGAAACCGGAGCUAAUACCGGAUAAUAUAUUGAACCGCAUGGUUCAAUAGUGAAAGACGGUUUUGCUGUCACUUAUAGAUGGAUCCGCGCCGCAUUAGCUAGUUGGUAAGGUAACGGCUUACCAAGGCAACGAUGCGUAGCCGACCUGAGAGGGUGAUCGGCCACACUGGAACUGAGACACGGUCCAGACUCCUACGGGAGGCAGCAGUAGGGAAUCUUCCGCAAUGGGCGAAAGCCUGACGGAGCAACGCCGCGUGAGUGAUGAAGGUCUUCGGGUCGUAAAACUCUGUUAUUAGGGAAGAACAAAUGUGUAAGUAACUAUGCACGUCUUGACGGUACCUAUCAGAAAGCCACGGCUAACUACGUG
rnacentral:rRNA from 1 species